CACUUAGCUCUGUAAUGAAAAAUGACAAAAACAUGCGAGAAAUCUGCUGAAUGCAAAAAUUUUAAUAAAAAACAGCAAUAGCCAUCUCAAAAAAUUUAUCAGGCGACCGAAAUUAUAAAACUGGUUGUUUUCAGUUCGGCAACCGACCAAAAGUCCCAGUUUACAUCAUAUAUGGUAGAGUUGUUUGGUGCAUCAUGAUAACUGAACUUUUAAUCAACCGUGAGACCGUAAGAACCGUAAUUUAAUCCUGAGACUCUUGACAAAACCUGGAGAGUUGGAAGGUCUGCAUAUUUUAGAGAACCCUUGUUUUCAAUUCGUUUGGAAUGAAAAAUAAAGAAUUUGCUAAAUUAAAUAUUAACACAUGUUAAGAAAUCUGAAUUUUCAGUACAAUAAAGAAUUUAUUAACAAGUCGACGUAUUUGAAGAAACGGUUUGGGUAGAAAACGUGUUUCGAUUUUUCAAAAUACGUGCAGCUAGUUUUGAUAAAUCUAAACAAUUCUGUGUCUAAUAUUUAGUAUUUUAUUUUAGUCAUCGUGACAAUAUCAGUUUAAAUAAUUUGUAAAAAGAUUUUUUUUUACCUUUUUUUUUUCCGUAGAUUUUCUUAUUAUUAGAUUAAAGAGAGAAUAAACAGCAUUAUUUUUUUAAACUUUUUAACUAUUGAAGAAAUGUAGCUG